rnacentral:rRNA from 1 species
CAGGCCUAACACAUGCAAGUCGAGCGGACUUAUCCUUCGGGAUAGGUUAGCGGCGGACGGGUGGGUAACACGUAGGCAACCUGCCUGUAAGAUCGGGAUAACUACCGGAAACGGUAGCUAAGACCGGAUAGCUGGUUUCUCCGCAUGGGGGAAUCAUGAAACACGGGGCAACCUGUGGCUUACGGAUGGGCCUGCGGCGCAUUAGCUAGUUGGUGGGGUAACGGCCCACCAAGGCGACGAUGCGUAGCCGACCUGAGAGGGUGAUCGGCCACACUGGGACUGAGACACGGCCCAGACUCCUACGGGAGGCAGCAGUAGGGAAUCUUCCGCAAUGGGCGCAAGCCUGACGGAGCAACGCCGCGUGAGUGAUGAAGGUUUUCGGAUCGUAAAGCUCUGUUGCCAAGGAAGAACGCCUCGGAGAGUAACUGCUCUGAGGGUGACGGUACUUGAGAAGAAAGCCCCGGCUAACUACGUGCCAGCAGCCGCGGUAAUACGUAGGGGGCAAGCGUUGUCCGGAAUUAUUGGGCGUAAAGCGCGCGCAGGCGGUCUUUUAAGUUUGGUGUUUAAGCCCGGGGCUCAACCCCGGUUCGCACUGAAAACUGGGAGACUUGAGUGCAGGAGAGGAAAGCGGAAUUCCACGUGUAGCGGUGAAAUGCGUAGAGAUGUGGAGGAACACCAGUGGCGAAGGCGGCUUUCUGGACUGUAACUGACGCUGAGGCGCGAAAGCGUGGGGAGCAAACAGGAUUAGAU